AGUGGAGCCUUCACCGGAAGCGACCUCACAGUGGAGGUCUGCAGCCAGGACCGUCCUGGUCCUGGUGGAACAAUGCCUAGUACUAAAAAAUGUUUUUUUGGUUGUAAGGGAAAGUUAUUUAAUUUCUUUGGUUUUCCGAAAGACCCAAGUACCAGGCAAGAGUGGGUAGAUACGCUGAUUCCCGGCCAACAACAGAAGACUCUGUGGGUUUGUCAACGGCACUUCCUACCGGAUUGUUUCACAAACCUGGGCCAAUGCAAGGUUGGAUUAGCAGCUAAACUGGUGCUCAUUGAUGGCUCAGUUCCAACAAUCCUCGGCCGUGUGGAAGAGUCAGAAGCUCAGAGUACAUCACAGCAGACCCUGACCGGUGAAACACGCAGGGACAUGGGAUGUCAAACAGACCCUCCAUAUACACUGUCCAGUGCAACGCAGACGGUGUGCAAUGUGAGAUCUGUUGGCACAAAAAUGCUGUUUCCGUCUUCAAAAUCUGUGGCCACACAGUUGUCACUUACUACACUGAAGCAACACGUGAGAAGCAAAGGUUCACAGGCCACUGUGUCCUGCCAGAAUGCUGGCACAGAGACCAUUGUGCAAGAAAAGGGGCUAGAAUUGUCUUCCAACCCAGUGAAGGGGUUGGCAUCCUCACUGGGUGUCAGAGCAGCUAAAAGAGCUCGCCUUGAGUUGCUAGAGGAGUCAGACGAGGAGUCGGAACGAGAAGACUGUCGUUUCAGAGCCACAUGACUCGACAGAUAUUUUUUUAACAACAUAAGUUAAUUUCAUCUUCAGCUCCAACAAAAACUCUUACCUUGCAUAAAUCUUGGUUGUAUCGGUAUUAGCAUGGUAGCCAGACAUUUAAUUUGCUAUUUCAUGUUAUUUAAGUUUUUGCUGAUAAAGUUAUUUCUUUGAAUAAACAUGUUCCUGCCAAAUUUUCAUUUUCUCGAUACAUCCAGUCAUGUCCGUGAUGGUAAUAAUAGUGUAGUCCAUAGGAUAACAAUGAGAUGAAUGUACAACAUAAUAG